rnacentral:rRNA from 1 species
GAUGAACGCUGGCGGCGUGCCUAAUACAUGCAAGUCGAGCGAACGGACGAGAAGCUUGCUUCUCUGAUGUUAGCGGCGGACGGGUGAGUAACACGUGGAUAACCUACCUAUAAGGCUGGGAUAACUUCGGGAAACCGGAGCUAAUACCGGAUGAUAUCUUGAACCGCAUUGUUCAAAAGUGAAAGACGGUCUUGCUGUCACUUAUAGAUGGAUCCGCGCUGCAUUAGCUAGUUGGUAAGGUAACGGCUUACCAAGGCAACGAUGCAUAGCCGACCUGAGAGGGUGAUCGGCCACACUGGAACGGAGACACGGUCCAGACUCCUACGGGAGGCAGCAGUAGGGAAUCUUCCGCAAUGGGCGAAAGCCUGACGGAGCAACGCCGCGUGAGUGAUGAAGGUCUUCGGAUCGUAAAACUCUGUUAUUAGGGAAGAACAUAUGUGUAAGUAACUGUGCACAUCUUGACGGUACCUAAUCAGAAAGCCACGGCUAACUACGUG